rnacentral:ncRNA from 2 species
ACGCGAAGCUGGGGGAGCCCGCACGGGCUGAGAGGGAAGGGCAACCUUCCGACCCCGAGAACCUGAUGCAGGUCAUCCUGCCGUAGGGAAGCUUCCUCGCCUUCGG